GACGAACGCUGGCGGCGUGCUUAACACAUGCAAGUCGAACGGAAAGGCCUCUUUCGGGGGGUACUCGAGUGGCGAACGGGUGAGUAACACGUGAGUAACCUGCCCUUGACUUUGGGAUAACUUCAGGAAACUGGGGCUAAUACCGGAUAGGAGCUCCUGCUGCAUGGUGGGGGUUGGAAAGUUUCCGCGGUUGGGGAUGGACUCGCGGCUUAUCUGCUUGUUGGUGGGGUAGUGGCUUACCAAGGCUUUGACGGGUAGCCGGCCUGAGAGGGUUACCGGCCACAUUGGGACUGAGGUACGGCCCAGACUCCUACGGGAGGCAGCAGGGGGGGAUAUUGCACAAAUGGUGGAAGCCUGAUGCAGCAACGCCGUGUUCGGGAGGACGGGCUUCGGGUUUGAAACCGCUUUCGCUCAUGGCGAAGCUUUGUGUGACGGUAGUGGGUAAAGAAGCACCGGCUAACUACGUG
rnacentral:rRNA from 1 species